rnacentral:rRNA from 1 species
GACGAACGCUGGCGGCGUGCUUAACACAUGCAAGUCGAACGGUAAGGCCCUUCGGGGUACACGAGUGGCGUACGGGUGAGUAACACGUGGGUGAUCUGCCCUGCACUUCGGGAUAAGCCUGGGAAACUGGGUCUAAUACCGGAUAGGACCACUGCCUGCAUGGGUGGUGGUGGAAAGCUUUUGCGGUGUGGGAUGGGCCCGCGGCCUAUCAGCUUGUUGGUGGGGUGAUGGCCUACCAAGGCGGCGACGGGUAGCCGGCCUGAGAGGGUGACCGGCCACACUGGGACUGAGGUACGGCCCAGACUCCUACGGGAGGCAGCAGUGGGGAAUAUUGCACAAUGGGCGCAAGCCUGAUGCAGCGACGCCGCGUGAGGGAUGACGGCCUUCGGGUUGUAAACCUCUUUCAGCACCGACGAAGCGCAAGUGACGGUAGGUGCAGAAGAAGGACCGGCCAACUACGUGCCAGCCGCCGCCGUAA